UAGCUCAGUUGGUAGAGCAUGGUGUUUGCAACGCCAGGGUUGUGGGUUCGGUUCCCAC
rfam:Salmo salar isolate Sally breed double haploid chromosome ssa14, whole genome shotgun sequence.